AUGCUCUCUUCGGCAGCACAUAUACUAAAAUUGGAACAAUAAAGAGAAGAUUAGCAUGGCCCCUGUGCAAGGAUGACACAAAUUAGUGAAGCACUCCAUAUUUGU
ensembl:snRNA U6 U6 spliceosomal RNA